rnacentral:piRNA from 1 species
UCAAACGAUUUAGAGCUUGCAGCAGUAUGGU